rnacentral:misc_RNA from 1 species
AAGUCGUAACAAGGUUUCCGUAGGUGAACCUGCGGAAGGAUCAUUAUUGAAUGAAUUGAGUGGGGUUGUAGCUGGCUUUCAACGAAGCAUGUGCACGCCUUGUUCAACCACUUCUACACCACUGUGCACUUCUCAUGGGUUGGAUCGCGUUUAACGACAAGAUCCUUCUCAUGUGUCUUUAUACAAACUAUGUUAUAGAAUGUCAACAAUGCAUGAAUGCAUUUUAAUACAACUUUCAGCAACGGAUCUCUUGGCUCUC